rnacentral:tRNA from 1 species
GUGGACGUGAUGUAGCCUGGUUAACAUGCAAGCCUGUGGUGCUUGAUAUCGGGAGUUCAAAUCUCCCCGUUCACC